UACGUAGGUGGCAAGCGUUGUCCGGAUUUACUGGGCGUAAAGGGCGUGCAGGCGGUUUGUUAAGUGCAGAGUGAAAGCUCCCGGCUCAACUGGGAGAGGUCUUUGCAUACUGGCAAACUCGAGGGAGGCAGAGGAAAGUGGAAUUCCCGGUGUAGUGGUGAUAUGCGUAGAUAUCGGGAGGAACACCUGUGGCGAAGGCGGCUUUCUGGGCCUUACCUGACGCUGAGGCGCGAAAGCGUGGGGAGCGAACCGG
rnacentral:rRNA from 1 species